AGCCUUCUGUAUCCGAUCUGCGACUACAUCACACACCAGACCAUAGGAGCUGACGAGCCUACCAAGAUAAGUGAAGCG
rfam:Schistosoma rodhaini strain Burundi genome assembly, scaffold: SROB_scaffold0011375